UUACGGCCACAUCACGUUGAAACACCGGCUCCCGAACAAUCACCGAAGUUAAGAAUCGUCAAGCUUGGUCAGUACCCAGAUGGGUGACAGAUUAGGAAUACUAGGUGCUAU